UACGGAGGGUGCAAGCGUUAUCCGGAUUCACUGGGUUUAAAGGGUGCGUAGGUGGGCUAGUAAGUCAGUGGUGAAAUCUCCCGGGCUUAACCCGGAAACUGCCAUUGAUACUAUUAGUCUUGAAUGUCGUGGAGGUAAGCGGAAUAUGUCAUGUAGCGGUGAAAUGCUUAGAUAUGACAUAGAACACCGAUAGCGUAGGCAGCUUGCUACACGAAUAUUGACACUGGAGGCAACGAAAAGCGUGGGGGAUCAAAACAGG
rnacentral:rRNA from 1 species